GCCAUUCGUCUUCCGAGCGCUACUGCCAGCUGAUGCCGGGAGCUAACUACCGCGCCGGGGCCGGGGCCGGGGCCGGGGCCCGACGUCCCCGCGGGGCCCGGGACCGCGAGGAGGACGGCGGGGGCCUGGAGCCCGCGGCCGUGGCCCGCGACCUAUUGAGGGGCACAUCUAACAUGUCAUUUGAGGAGCUGUUGGAAUUGCAGAGCCAAGUGGGGACUAAGACGUACAAACAAUUGGUAGCUGGAAAUAGUCCUAAGAAACAAGCUUCUAGACCACCUAUCCAAAAUGCAUGUGUUGCAGAUAAGCACAGGCCUCUGGAAAUGUCAGCCAAGAUCCGAGUACCAUUUUUACGUCAGGUUGUUCCCAUUAGUAAAAAGGUAGCCCGGGACCCUCGCUUUGAUGAUCUGUCAGGGGAAUAUAAUCCUGAGGUGUUUGACAAAACAUACCAAUUCUUGAAUGACAUCCGAGCGAAAGAGAAAGAGCUAACAUUUGCAGAAUGCUAACCAUGAUACUCAUUUUCCAAUGUGGAGCUUGUGAAAAAACAGUUGAAGAAGCACCUUUCAGGAGAGGAGCAUGAGAAACUGCAGCAACUGCUUCAGCGAAUGGAGCAGCAAGAAAUGGCACAGCAGGAACGAAAGCAACAGCAGGAGCUGCACCUGGCCCUGAAGCAAGAACGUCGGGCUCAGGCCCAGCAGGGCCAUCGGCCAUACUUCCUGAAAAAAUCUGAGCAGCGCCAGUUGGCACUAGCUGAGAAGUUCAAGGAGCUGAAACGCAGCAAGAAAUUGGAGAACUUCUUGAGUCGAAAGAGGCGACGAAAUGCAGGCAAGGACAGGAGACAUCUCCCUUUGAGCAAAGAGUAAUAAGGAACUAUCCUCUGCUCUGCCACUGCCCCAGGGAGACAUGGAUCUGUGAGGACAGAUUUGGCCACGGCUGGUUUCCGUUCAAGGGCAAGGAUCACAGCUGCCCUUGAAUCUCAUUGCCUCAGAGAAGACUAGAGGGCUCUUGGACUAUCCCUAGGGCUACACAAGAAUAGUUCAGCCUUCUGCCAUGCCACACAGCCUCAGCUUGAAUCUGGUUCAUUGCGUCCUCGUGUUCUUCUCUCAUCCUUGCCUUAAACCAGGGAUUCUGAUACCGAAGAAGAGGGGCCAAUGAAAACCAUGGAGUCUGUUCGUGACUCCCAGGGCUGGGACAUUAUGUAGGAGCCACUUCAUAAACAUUCUCUUUACUCAUC